CCCUUAGAUGUUCUGGGCUGCACGCGCGCUACACUGAUGAAUGCAACGAGUUUUUGCCCUUGGUCGACAGGCCCGGGUAAUCUUUGAAAAUUCAUCGUGCUGGGGAUAGAUCAUUGUAAUUUUUGGUCUUCAACGAGGAAUUCCUAGUAAGUGCAAGUCAUCAGCUUGCGUUGAUUACGUCCCUGCCCUUUGUACACACCGCCCGUCGCUCCUACCGACGAAUGGUCCGGUGAAAUCUCCGGAUGGGUGCGCUUAAGCUGUUGGCAUUAGCUGAUAGCAGCGCGCUCAGAAGUUGCUUAAACCUUAUCAUUUGGAGGAAGGAGAAGUCGUAACA
rnacentral:rRNA from 1 species